CGUCCUGGUGCGUGAUGAUGAUGCAUACCAUAUAUGUGCAAAACUUUUGCUAGGAAACAAAGUAUCUGUAUUUCCCUUGAUAGCAUGUUAGCAUUCAAUUUCUUCCUAUCCCGAAAUUAAAUUCCCCUUAUGUAAUUCCAAAUUUUGUUUUCAAUCCUGGGGUCUCUCCUUCUCUGUUCACACAACUGUAUUCUCUGAAUCUUUCAACCUUCGAACUCAAAAAGAAAAAGAAAAAAAAUGCUCUGAAAAAAUCUGUACAGCAAUGGCGGAAAACACUAAAUCGCUUUUCUUUUUUUUAUCGACUCUUUUGCUACUUGCUGGCCAAAGUCAGGGUAGAAUCAUAUCGAAGAUUUCUUCUCCCACUUCUUUUUCUGAAUCUGGUUUGAUUUCUAAUGGAAUAGAUAAUGUUGAAAAGCAAAAUUCAUAUAUCAGUCUCAACACACUGGUUUCUUCUUCUAAAUCUCCUCCUUUGACUAACAAUAGCAAAGCUGAAGAAACAUGUGAACAAACCUAUGGAUUUUUACCAUGUACAAGUACAGCUAUGGGAAACCUGUUCCUUAUAUUUGUUUAUGGUUACUUAAUGUUCACUGCUGCAAGCUUUUUAUCAAAUGGAAGUGAACUGUUGUUAGAGAUUUUAGGUCCUGGUAUUAUUGGUGGUCUCUUUCUUCCUGUUCUUGGUGCUCUUCCUGAUGCUUUACUCAUUGUUGUAUCUGGACUUUCUGGAAGCACAGAAGUUGCCCAAUCUCAGGUCCUGGUGGGUAUGGGUUUGUUAGCUGGGUCCACCGUCAUGCUUCUGACAGUGUUAUGGGGAUCUUGUGUUAUCAUUGGCAAAUGGGACAUUGAGGAUUCUAGAGCUAAAGAUUCUAAGGAUACAAGAGGAUUGAGCUUAACAGAAUCGGGUGUAAGUACCGACAUCUGGACAAGCUAUGCUGCCAGGAUCAUGGCUGUAUCAAUCAUCCCAUUUGUUAUUGUCCAACUACCAGCAAUCUUCCAUACAAAUUCUGGAAGACGUUUGGCAGUCUUAGUUUCACUAAUUGUUGCUGUGACGCUGCUAGUCUCAUACUGCGUUUUCCAGAUAUUUCAACCUUGGAUUCAAGAGAGGAAAAUGGCAUAUGCAAAGCACAAACAUGUAAUUGCAGGACUUUUAAAACACAUGCAUGGAUUGGAUAGGUUCCUCACAGAUGAUGGUGAACCUGAUGAAGAAGUUAUAAGAAAGUUGUUUAAGACGAUCGAUGAAAACGGGGAUGCAUAUCUUUCGGAUUUAGAACUAAGAGCGUUAAUCAUAGGAAUCCGUUUUGACGAGAUCGAUUUAAAUAAGGAGGAUGCUGUUAAAAAGCUACUUAGAGACUUCGAUACAUCGGGUGAUUCCCAGGUUGAUGAGAAGGAGUUCAUCGAGGGAAUCUCAAAAUGGCUUAAAGAAGCCAAGCGCUCUGUAACUUCUGCUAAUAGUUCUACUCCCCGUGCAUCUAACCUUGUAACUGCGUUUCACAGACAAACCAAGGAGGAACAUGAUCUUUUAGGAAAUCAGGGUGAUGACGCCGAAGAAGGUGCUGACAAGCCCAAGUUUACUUCAUAUAAAGCAGUAGGGAUGUUGCUUCUAGGAACUGCUAUAGCUGCGGCAUUUGCAGAUCCCCUUGUUGACGCUGUUGACAAUUUCUCCACUGCGACAAGUAUUCCUUCUUUCUUCAUCUCAUUUAUAGCGUUGCCUUUGGCCACCAACUCCAGUGAAGCAGUAUCAGCGCUUAUUUUUGCCAGCCGUAAGAAGCAAAGAACUGCUUCUCUGACAUUUUCCGAGAUAUAUGGAGCUGUAACUAUGAACAACAUUCUCUGUCUGUCGGUGUUCUUAUCGCUUGUCUAUGUAAGACAGUUGACAUGGGAUUUCUCUGCAGAAGUGUUAGUGAUUCUUAUUGUUUGCGUCGUGAUGGGUCUCUUUGGCAGCUUCCGUACCACAUUUCCUCUCUGGACAUGUUCAAUCGCAUUUUUACUAUACCCAUUCUCUCUGGCACUUGUUUAUGUUCUGGACUAUGUGUUCGGGUGGUCAUAGAUUCAGUCAUCAUCAGGUAUUAACUCUUGGGGUUGUGGAUAUUUCUCACUGAUGCUUAACUCUUUUUUGUAUAUUUUGUUCUAGAGAUCUGGGCCUAAUCGGUUUUUCUUAAUGAAAAAUUUAUAUGUAUAUAUGUGACAGGCAGUUCCAUCCAUCUUUGGUUUGUACCAGAUGUCUGUCUAAAAUGUUUUAUAUAGAGAGUGGAAAUUUACCCUAUUAAGAAGCCGGACUAAGGAAUGGUGGUUUUAGUUGGAGAUGGCUAGUUAAGCAUUGGAUAUAUCGUAUCUGGUGGUCUCAGAAAAUCAUCAUAUCUCAAGAACUCUGGUUUUUACUUCGCUGCUGUUCUAGCAUCGGUUAUUAACAAAGCAUGAGCCCUUUGGUUGGAAAACAUGGCCAUGGGAAAAUAACACGUACAAAAUCUGUCGGAUAAUCCACAAGGACACAUAUUUUAGUUUGGGGAAGAUAAUUUUUACGCCUUCACCAAAAGUUUCAUACUCAUUUAGUCCUAUACUGAUAAGCUACUCAAGAAAGUACAUGUAUUCAUAUUGUAAGAUGGCACACCCUUACUUGAAAGGGAUCCAUCCCACUGACUUGUACCUUUGUAUCUUGAGUUAAAAGAUACAAAGGAGACAUGAAGUGAAAAGUCUGGUCUGGUUGAUGAAUCAUAUGACCACGGGAUUAGAGCAUGAAUUGUAAUUUGGCAUGUGGCGCUAAGGCAUGUUGAAUUAAAUGCUUAAGAACGGUGGCCUGAACUUAAGUUGCAUCUCCCGCAAGCAAUCGGGGGGAACUUCAUUCUUCAAA